rnacentral:tRNA from 1 species
GGGGAUUUGGCUCAGUGGUAGAGCACUUGCUUAGCAAGCGCAAGGCCCUGGGUUCGAUCCCCAGCUCCG